UACAGAGGUCUCAAGCGUUGUUCGGAUUCAUUGGGCGUAAAGGGUGCGUAGGCGGUCGGGUAAGUCUGACGUGAAAUCUCACAGCUUAACUGUGAAACUGCAUUGGAUACUAUUCGGCUAGAGAGUUGGAGGGGGGACUGGAAUUCUUGGUGUAGCAGUGAAAUGCGUAGAUAUCAAGAGGAACACCAGUGGCGAAGGCGAGUCCCUGGACAACUUCUGACGCUGAGGCACGAAAGCUAGGGGAGCAAACAGG
rnacentral:rRNA from 1 species